rnacentral:rRNA from 1 species
GAUGAACGCUGGCGGCGUGCCUAAUACAUGCAAGUCGAGCGAACGGACGAGAAGCUUGCUUCUCUGAUGUUAGCGGCGGACGGGUGAGUAACACGUGGAUAACCUACCUAUAAGACUGGGAUAACUUCGGGAAACCGGAGCUAAUACCGGAUAAUAUUUUGAACCGCAUGGUUCAAAAGUGAAAGACGGUCUUGCUGUCACUUAUAGAUGGAUCCGCGCUGCAUUAGCUAGUUGGUAAGGUAACGGCUUACCAAGGCAACGAUGCAUAGCCGACUUGAGAGGGUGAUCGGCCACACUGGAACUGAGACACGGUCCAGACUCCUACGGGAGGCAGCAGUAGGGAAUCUUCCGCAAUGGGCGAAAGCCUGACGGAGCAACGCCGCGUGAGUGAUGAAGGUCUUCAGAUCGUAAAACUCUGUUAUUAGGGAAGAACAUAUGUGUAAGUAACUGUGCACAUCUUGACGGUACCUAAUCAGAAAGCCACGGCUAACUACGU